CGGCUGGGAGCGCAGGGCCGGGCCCCCCCAGCCAGUACGGCGGCAGCUCGGGGCUGGGUGCGGCCAGGGGGCUGCCAGCCCAGCCCGCCCCGAGCACCGGCAUGUGGUCCCACGCGACGGCGAUGGCACGCCGCGCACGGGGCACGGAGCACACGCGUGCACCGCCUGGGCACGCACAGAGCACACGUGUGCACCCACACGCAUGCACAGCACACACAUGGGCAUGCACAAAGCACACACGUGCACUCACAUGCACCGCGCGCCCCGCAUAUGCACUCACAGAGCCCACGCGUCCCCCCCUCGCACGCUCCGUGCAUCCACACCGGCUGGAUGCUCUAGCGCAACCAGGGCAACGUCCCCACACGCGGGCUGUGCACAUGCAUGCAGUGCGCACGCGCGCGCACACGCACACACACACGGUGCAUGCACACAGGCGCACACACACACACGGUGCAUGCACACAGGCGCGCACACACACACACACACACACACGGUGCAUGCACACAGGCGCGCGUGCACACACACACACACACACACACACACAGGGUGAAUGCACCCAGCACCUAUGCACACACCACGCAUGCACUUGCACGCACACGCAGAGAGAUGCCCGGGGCCGAGGGUUCAACCUGCCCGCGGCAGCGACGCGGACACCAGGAGCGGGAGCCAGCCAGCGGCAGACCAACACACUUUAUUCCACAGUUACAACAGUCGGGAUAACCGUCAGCCACACGGCCCGGGCCUGGCGGCCCCUCGCCACCACUGCAAGCCCCUGCCCGUGCCCCGGGAGCCCCGUCACCGGCGCGACGCCGCAGGAGGUGCCCACCGGCUGCUCCGGCCCUGCGGCCGYGGCAGCUUGUUCCUGAGAGAGGUUUGGUUUUAUUAUUAUUAUUAUUUUGUUCAUUUAUUAUUGGCUCUGUGGCUGGCGAUGGCGGGACGCGAGCGCGCGGGGGUUGCUACAGCGCGAUCGCCGCAUGUUGCACGACGUCCACGGCGGCGGACGCGAGCGCGCGGGGG
rnacentral:lncRNA from 1 species